GUUGAACUGGAAUGGUGUUUGAUUUACUCUGCCAGAUCGCUCCUUCUGUGAAGACAGCCCUCUGCAAACCCAGAAGACUGUUCUCAGCAGAACCCAGCCAUGCUGGCGCCCUGAUGUGGGACUUCCCAGCCUCCUGAACUGUGACAAAUAAAUCUCUGCUGCGUAAGCCA